AUGCCCAUGUUUUCCGGAAGCAAUGACCCCGAAGAGUAUCUUUCAUGGGCAUUGAAGGUUGACAAGAUAUUUCAUUUGCACAACUAUGAGGAAGAGAAGAAGAUCGCCAUCGAAUCCCCUGAGUUCCAAGACCAUGUCCUCAUUUGGUGGGAGCAAGUCAUUGAGCGCCGAGAAGCAAGAGGUGAACCACCAAUCACAACUUGGGAUCAAAUGAAGGAUGUCAUGAGAUCGUGCUUUGUGCCAACAUACUAUAACCGUGACCUCUUCAAGCGACUACAACUCCUCAACAAAUGGACAAAGAGUGUUGAAGAAUACUACAAGGAAAUGGAGAUCGUCAUGCUACGAGCUAAUUUACGGAAGAUGAGGAACAAACUAUGGCACAUUUCUUGA
rnacentral:rRNA from 1 species